rnacentral:lncRNA from 1 species
GGUGGUCUCCAAUCAAACAGAGAAAAGGUCCUGGAGAAGAUGUAUCUUUAAAGCUGUCCUGCUGAAUUGGAAGUCCCUGGAGGGCAGAACUGGCACCCUGUUCAAUCUGGAAUGCCCAGAAAUUCAAUCAACAGAAGUCAGUAUUGAUUUCACACCCUCCUGGACCCCUAUUUGAGUCUCUGUGUGGUGGCCCCUCUCCCCGGAAGUGAAGUCUUCCAGACUAUGAACUUCUGGUGAGAUUCCUAACACUACCAACCUCAGGAGUACAGAGCCCAGAGAAAGUCCAUUGGGGUCCAUUUUCAGGAUGGUGCAUAUGGGAACAAUAAUUUAUGAACGACAAAGUCUCUCACCAUACAGAGUGCAGCAUUUCGACCAUAGUGGUUGGGCAGCCAGCCCUUGGGAUUCUCCUGUCCCAGUCUUCCCAGAUGUGGGGUUAUUCAUUUGAGUAUUCGAACCCAGCUCAGUUUCUUGUGUAAGUGCUGGAGAUCAAAUUUAGUUCCUCACAUUUGCUCAGCGGGCUCUUAACUGAUGGAGCUAACUUGCCAGCUCCUAAUUUAUUGAUUUGUCUGAGUCAGAGUCUAAUGUAUCCCAGCUUGGUUCCGAACUCACAACACAACUGAGGAUGACCCUGAACUUGAGGGUACCAGACUGUCUUCACCUUCAAGUGCUGCGAUCAGCAACAUGCAUCUAUGCCCAGAUUGGUUGAUAUUACUGAGUGGUGACUUUGUUCCUGGUUUGUUAGGGCUGUGUUCUUUCAGCAGUGGUAGUGUUGUAGACUUGAGCAUGUGGCUGAGGAAGUUAUUUCUUCUCCCUGUUUCUAGACACUGGCAAUUUUAUUCCUUCUUGGUGCACAAGAACAUGUGAAUAUAGUCACUGGGAUAGGAAUGGUAACAUCACAAUGAACUUGAAGUUGGCUGGCCAAGUCAAAAAGUGGUAGGGGCAUGUGCAGAGAUAGUGUUUGACACUACAAAAAUCUUAAGGUCAAGAAAUACAAAUGAAGAAUAGAUAGAAGAAAGUCAACCUGGAAAAUGGAAAGAGGAAAGGCGCUAGUCUGGCAAGUAGAUGGCCCAGCACUGGCUCUGCCCUAGUGAACUUCCAGGAGUGUUAGAUGGAGUCAUUUCUACACAGACUCUAUUUCAUUUCCUUUCCCAACUCUAAGGUUGCCAGAUAAAAUAAAAAGCCCACAGUAAGAUCUGUAUGCUAGCCAAAUAAUGAAUAGUGUUUCUAUAAAAUAAUGUACCAAAUACCACACUGGGUAUAUAUUAUUUCAAGAUUACAUGCAAUUCAAAUUUUA